rnacentral:misc_RNA from 1 species
GAUGAAGAACGCAGUGAAAUGCGAUAAGUAAUGUGAAUUGCAGAAUUCAGUGAAUCAUCGAAUCUUUGAACGCACAUUGCGCCCGCUAGUAUUCUGGCGGGCAUGCCUGUUCGAGCGUCAUUUCAACCAUCAAGCCCUGCUUGUGUUGGGGUCCUGCGGCUGCCCGCAGGCCCUGAAAACCAGUGGCGGGCUCGCUAGUCACACCGAGCGCAGUAGCACAUCUCGCUCAGGGCGUGCGGCGGGCUCCAGCCGUUAAAACACCCACCUUUCGCAAAGGUUGACCUCGGAUCAGGUAGGAAUACCCGCUGAACUUAAGCAUAUCAAUAAGCGGAGGA